rnacentral:rRNA from 1 species
CCUACGGGUGGCUGCAGUGGGGAAUAUUGCACAAUGGGCGGAAGCCUGAUGCAGCAACGCCGCGUGCGGGAUGACGGCCUUCGGGUUGUAAACCGCUUUCAGUAGGGACGAAGCGCAAGUGACGGUACCUACAGAAGAAGCACCGGCUAACUACGUGCCAGCAGCCGCGGUGAUACGUAGGGUGCGAGCGUUGUCCGGAAUUAUUGGGCGUAAAGAGCUUGUAGGCGGUUGGUUGCGUCGUAAGUGAAAACUCAGGGCUUAACCCUGGGCCUGCUUGCGAUACGGGCUGACUUGAGGAAGGUAGGGGAGAAUGGAAUUCCCGGUGGAGCGGUGGAAUGCGCAGAUAUCGGGAGGAACACCAGUGGCGAAGGCGGUUCUCUGGACCUUUCCUGACGCUGAGAAGCGAAAGCGUGGGGAGCAAACAGGCUUAGAUACCCUUGUAGUC